UAAGAGAGUUUGAUCCUGGCUCAGGAUGAACGCUGGCGGUAUGCCUUAUACAUGCAAGUCGUACGAGAACUAAGUAAUUUAAGUUCUAGUGGCGAACGGGUGAGUAAUACAUAAGAAUUUGCCUUUAGGAAAAGGAUAACAGUUGGAAACGACUGCUAAUACUUUAUAAACUCAAAUAGAAAAAAGAGUUAAAAACUAUUCUAAGUUGAAAUUUUUUAAAUUUAGACUGUGCCUAAAGAAAAGCUUAUGGCUGAUUAGCUUGUUGGUAAGGUAAUAGCUUACCAAGGCGAAGAUCAGUAUCUGGUUUGAGAGGAUGAUCAGACACACUGGAACUGAGACACGGUCCAGACUCCUACGGGAGGCAGCAGUAGGGAAUUUUCCGCAAUGGGCGAAAGCCUGACGGAGCGAUACCGCGUGAGGGAUAUGGAGACCGUUUCCGCAGCCUCCGAAGGCCUACGGGUUGUAAACCUCUUUUCUCAUGGAAGAAAAAUGACAGUAAAUGAAGAAUAAGCAUCGGCUAACUCCGUGCCAGCAGCCGCGGUAAGACGGAGGAUGCAAGUGUUAUCCGGAAUCACUGGGCGUAAAGCGUCUGUAGGUGGUUUAUAUAAGUCAAUUGUUAAAGGUUAAUGCUCAACAUUAAAACUGCAGUUGAAACUAUUAAACUUGAGCAUGUUAGAGGUAACGGGAAUUUCCUGUGAAGCGGUGAAAUGCGUUGAUAUUGGAAAGAACACCGAUGGCGAAGGCACGUUACUGGGUCAUAGCUGACAUUGAGAGACGAAAGCUAAGGUAGCAAAUGGGAUUAGAUACCCCAGUAGUCUUAGCUGUAAACGAUGGAUACUAAAUGUUGAAGAAAUCCUUCAGUAUUGUAGUUAACGCGUUAAGUAUCCCGCCUGGGAAGUACGCUCGCAAGAGUAAAACUCAAAGGAAUUGACGGGGGCCUGCACAAGCGGUGGAGCAUGUGGUUUAAUUCGAUGGUACGCGAGGAACCUUACCUGGGCUCGAAUGUCUCUGCUGCCUUGAGAAAUCAAGGGUUCCUUCGGGACAGAGUACAAGGUGUUGCAUGGCCGUCGUCAGCUCGUGCCGUGAGGUGUUGGGUUAAGUCCUAUAACGAGCGCAACCCCUAUACUUAGUUGCCAGCACAUUAUGGUGGGGACUCUAAGUAGACUGCCUGCGUAAGCAGUGAGGAAGGAGGGGACGAGGUCAGGUCAUCAUGGCCCUUACGCCCAGGGCUACACACGUGCUACAAUGGCGUGUACAGAGGGAAGCUACCUGGCAACAGGAUGCAAAUCUUGAAAACACGUCCCAGUUCGGAUUGAGGUCUGCAACUCGACCUCAUGAAGUUGGAAUCGCUAGUAAUCGCGCAUCAGCAAUGGCGCGGUGAAUACGUUCCCGGACCUUGUACACACCGCCCGUCAAGCCAUGGGAGUUAGGAGAAUCUGAAGACAGUGGCCGUCUAAGGAGCUGUUUAGGGUUAUACUAGCGACUAGGGUUAAGUCGUAACAAGGUAGCCGUACCGGAAGGUGUGGCUGGAAUACCUCUUU
rnacentral:rRNA from 12 species